UAUGUGAUCGUCUCUCGCAUAUCAAUAAGCGGAGGAAAAGAAACUAACAAGGAUUCCCCUAGUAACGGCGAGUGAAGCGGGAAGAGCUCAAAUUUGAAAUCUUAAAGGGUUUCCCUUUACGAAUUGUAGUUUAAAGAAGUGUUUUCUGUUGAGGUUUUGGUAAAAGUUCUUUGGAAUAGGACAUCAUAGAGGGUGAGAAUCCCGUAUUUGACCUUUACUUUCAACUUUGUGAUACACUUUCAAAGAGUCGGAUUGUUUGGGAAUGCAGUCCAAAAUGGGUGGUAAAUUUCAUCUAAAGCUAAAUAUUGGCGAGAGACCGAUAGCGAACAAGUACCGUGAGGGAAAGAUGAAAAGAACUUUGAAAAGAGAGUUAAACAGUACGUGAAAUUGUCAAAAGGGAAGCGUUUGACACCAGUGUUGUUUUUCUGAAAAUCAAUUAAAGAACUGUUUAUGCUAAGUUGUUUAGACUUUAUCAGCUAACUGUUUAGUUUUGAGCUUUUCUUUAAUAUGCACUUUUCAGUUAACAAGUCAACAUCAAUUUCUUUUGCUGUAAAAAAGCUUGAGGAAGGUGGCUUGAGAUUCGUCUUAAGUGUUUAUAGCCUCUUGCCUAUGCAGUCGGAGAGAUGAGGUCUGCAGCGUAGAUCCUUCGGGGCUAAAUGCAUUUGUGCUAAGUUAUAGCAUUUUAUAGACAACUUGUUGACUAUGAUUUGUCUUGUAGCUUACUCGCUUAUGUUAUUUUACCUACGCUUAGGAUGUUGAGUAGCGACAUACGCAC
rnacentral:rRNA from 1 species